UACGUAGGAGGCAAGCGUUGUCCGGAAUUGCUGGGCGUAAAGCGCGUGUAGGUGGUGGGACAAGUCUGCUGUGAAAGUGCCUGGCUUAACCGGGCGAGGUCGGCGGAAACUGUCCGACUCGAGGACGGUAGAGGGGGGUGGAAUUCCCGGUGUAGUGGUGAAAUGCGUAGAGAUCGGGAGGAACACCUGUGGCGAAGGCGGCCCCCUGGGCCGGCCCUGACACUGCGACGCGAAGGCGUGGGGAGCGAACGGG
rnacentral:rRNA from 1 species